rnacentral:rRNA from 1 species
UACGUAGGGUGCAAGCGUUGUCCGGAAUUAUUGGGCGUAAAGAGCUCGUAGGCGGUCUGUCGCGUCGGCUGUGAAAACCUGGGGCUCAACCCCGGGCCUGCAGCCGAUACGGGCAAGCUAGAAUUCGGUAGGGGAGACUGGAAUUCCUGGUGUAGCGGUGAAAUGCGCAGAUAUCAGGAGGAACACCGGUGGCGAAGGCGGGUCUCUGGGCCGAUAUUGACGCUGAGGAGCGAAAGCAUGGGGAGCGAACAGG